AAAGGGCUGCAGUAUUUUGACUGUACAAAGGUAGCAUAAUCAAUAGUCUCUUAAUUGGUGACUUGUAUGAAAGAUUGGAUGAAAUAUAUACUGUCUCUUAUUUAUAUUAAGAAUUUAAUUUUUUGAUCAAAAAGUCAAAAUGAAUUUAAAAGACGAGAAGACCCUAUAGAGUUUCAUAUAUAUUUUAAUUGAAAUUAUUUUUUAGUUUAAUAAUUAAAAUUAAAAUAUUUAUUUUGUUGGGGUGAUAAAAAAAUAAAAAUAACUUUUUUUAAUUUAAAAUCAUAAAUAAAUGAGUUAUUGAUCCAAAAAUUUUGAUUAUAAGAAAAAAUUACCUUAGGGAUAACAGCGUAAUUUUUUUUUUUAGUUCAAAUAAAAAAAAGAGUUUGCGACCUCGAUGUUGGAUUAAGAUAAAAUUUAUAUGCAAAAGUAUAAAA
rnacentral:rRNA from 1 species